UACGGGGGGAGCAAGCGUUGUUCGGAUUUACUGGGCGUAAAGGGCGCGUAGGCGGGAUGGCAAGUCGGUCGUGAAAGCCUUCGGCUCAACCGAAGAACGUCGGCCGAUACUGCCGUUCUUGAGGGAUGCAGAGGAGACUGGAAUUCCCGGUGUAGCGGUGAAAUGUGUAGAGAUCGGGAGGAACACCGGUGGCGAAGGCGGGUC
rnacentral:rRNA from 1 species